UGCGUAGGCUGUUUAGCAAGUUGGAUGUGAAAUACCCGGGCUUAACUUGGGAGCUGCAUUCAAAACUGCCAGACUUGAGUACAGGAGAGGGAAGCGGAAUUCCUAGUGUAGCGGUGAAAUGCGUAGAUAUUAGGAGGAACACCAGUGGCGAAGGCGGCUUUCUGGACUGUAACUGACGCUGAGGCACGAAAGCGUGGGGAGCAAACAG
rnacentral:rRNA from 1 species